rnacentral:rRNA from 1 species
CCUACGGGUGGCAGCAGUGGGGAAUAUUGCACAAUGGGGGAAACCCUGAUGCAGCGACGCCGCGUGAAGGAAGAAGUAUUUCGGUAUGUAAACUUCUAUCAGCAGGGAAGAACAUGACGGUACCUGACUAAGAAGCCCCGGCUAACUCCGUGCCAGCAGCCGCGGUAAUACGGAGUGGGCAAGCGUUAUCCGGAGUUACUGGUGGGAAAGGGAGCGUAGGCGGUGCAGCAAGUCAGACGGGAAAGCCCCGGGCUCAACGCCGGGACUGCUUUUGAAACUGUUGAACUAGAUUGCCGGAGAGGUAAGUGGAAUUCCUAGUGUAGGGGUGAAAUGCGUAGAUAUUAGGAGGAACAUCAGUGGCGAAGGCGGCUUACUGGACUGUAAAUGACGCUGAGGCGCGAAAGCGUGGGGAGCAAACAGGAUUAGAUACCCUGGUAGUC